GUCUAUACUUUUUUUAGAAAAA
rnacentral:tRNA from 1 species